AACGAACGCUGGCGGCAUGCCUAACACAUGCAAGUCGAACGAGAUCUUCGGAUCUAGUGGCGCACGGGUGCGUAACGCGUGGGAAUCUGCCCUGGGGUGCGGAAUAACUCAGAGAAAUUUGAGCUAAUACCGCAUAAUGUCUUCGGACCAAAGAUUUAUUGCCCUGGGAUGAGCCCGCGUAGGAUUAGCUAGUUGGUGGGGUAAAAGCCUACCAAGGCGACGAUCCUUAGCUGGUCUGAGAGGAUGAUCAGCCACACUGGGACUGAGACACGGCCCAGACUCCUACGGGAGGCAGCAGUGGGGAAUAUUGGACAAUGGGCGAAAGCCUGAUCCAGCAAUGCCGCGUGAGUGAUGAAGGCCUUAGGGUUGUAAAGCUCUUUUACCCGGGAUGAUAAUGACAGUACCGGGAGAAUAAGCUCCGGCUAACUCCGUG
rnacentral:rRNA from 1 species